rnacentral:rRNA from 1 species
AACGAACGCUGGCGGCAGGCUUAACACAUGCAAGUCGAACGCAUCCUUCGGGGUGAGUGGCAGACGGGUGAGUAACCCGUGGGAACGUGCCCUUUAGUUCGGGAUAACCCAGGGAAACUUGGGCUAAUACCGGAUACGUGCGAGAGCAGAAAGAUUUAUCGCUGAAGGAUCGGCCCGCGUCUGAUUAGCUAGUUGGUGGGGUAAUGGCCCACCAAGGCGACGAUCAGUAGCUGGUCUGAGAGGAUGAUCAGCCACAUUGGGACUGAGACACGGCCCAAACUCCUACGGGAGGCAGCAGUGGGGAAUAUUGGACAAUGGGCGCAAGCCUGAUCCAGCCAUGCCGCGUGAGUGAUGAAGGCCUUAGGGUUGUAAAGCUCUUUCGUCCGGGACGAUAAUGACGGUACCGGAAGAAGAAGCCCCGGCUAACUUCGUGCCAGCCGCCGCAGUAA